GGAGUUUUACGGGGUGCAGCAGGCGCGAAACCUCCGCAAUGUGAGAAAUCGCGACGGGGGGAUCCCAAGUGCUAUUCUUAACGGGAUGGCUUUUCUUUAGUGUAAAGAGCUUUUGAAAAAGACGAGGACCA
rnacentral:rRNA from 1 species